AAACCAACCGGGAUUGCCUUAGUAACGGCGAGUGAAGCGGCAAAAGCUCAAAUUUGAAAUCUGGUACCUUCGGUGUCCGAGUUGUAAUUUGAAGAGGGCAACUUUGGGGCCGUUCCUCGUCUAUGUUCCCUUUGGAACCAAGGAACGUUC
rnacentral:rRNA from 1 species